UGAAUACGAGACGCUAAAGCGUCGAAGUAGUGUAUGUCAUACUUCCAAGAAAAGCUUGCACUGUCAUAGAUAAAAAACGCCUGUACCAUAACCGACACAGGUGGGUAGGUAGAGUAUACUAAGGGGCGCGAGAUAACUCUCUCUAAGGAACUCGGCAAAAUAACUCCGUAACUUCGGGAGAAGGAGUGCCUUAUUUAUAAGGCUGCAAUAACAAGAUCCAAGCAACUGUUUAUCAAAAACACAGGUCUCCGCUAAGUCGUAAGACGAUGUAUGGGGGCUGACGCCUGCCCAGUGCCAGAAGGUUAAAGAAGUUGGUUAGCUUUUGCGAAGCUGAUAACUGAAGCCCUGGUGAACGGCGGCCGUAACGAUAACGGUCCUAAGGUAGCGAAAUUCCUUGUCGGGUAAGUUCCGACCCGCACGAAAGGCGUAAUGAUUUGGAUACUGUCUCGGAGAGGGGCUCGGUGAAAUAGACUUGUCUGUGAAGAUGCGGACUACCUGCACCAGGACAGAAAGACCCUAUGAAGCUUUACUGUAACUUGAAAUUGAAAUUGGACUUUAUUCGCGCAGCAUAGGUGGGAGGCGUUGAUUAUAAUCUCGUGGGAUUAUUGGAGCCAUCAGUGAGAUACCACUCUUGUAAUGUUAGAUUUCUAACUUUGAAUCAUUAUCUGGUCAAAGAACAGUUUCAGGCGGGCAGUUUGACUGGGGCGGUCGCCUCCUAAACGGUAACGGAGGCGUACAAAGGUUUCCUCUGAACGGUUAGAAAUCGUAUCUAGAGUGUAAAGGCAUAAGGAAGCUUGACUGUGAGACCUACAAGUCGAGCAGGGACGAAAGUCGGUCUUGGUGAUCUGACGGUACUGAGUGGAAAGGCCGUCACUCAACGGAUAAAAGUUACUCUAAGGAUAACAGGCUGAUCUCCCCCAAGAGUUCACAUCGACGGGGAGGUUUGGCACCUCGAUGUCGGCUCAUCGCAUCCUGGGGCGGUAGUACGUCCCAAGGGUUGGGCUGUUCGCCCAUGAAAGCGGUACGCGAGCUGGGUUCAGAACGUCGUGAGACAGUUCGGUCCAUAUCCGGUGUAGGCGUUAGAAUAUUGAGAGGAGCCUUCUUUAGUACGAGAGGACCGAGAAGGACAUACCUCUGGUGUACCAGUUAUCGUGCCAACGGUAAACGCUGGGUAGCUAUGUAUGGAGUGGAUAACCGCUGAAAGCAUCUAAGUGGGAAGCCCACCUCAAGAUAAGUAUUCU
rnacentral:rRNA from 1 species